AUAUAUAUCUAAAAUAUAUAUUUUCUCAAGUUUGCAUUGUCAGUUAGAGAUACAGUGUUGUCCCCUCGCCUGUCCCAUAAGUUUGGUGACUUAUCGACAACAAUCCACGUACCAACUGACUAUAUCAGUACCAACAAUGAGGGAGGGAGCAGGGAGAGAGGGAGGGAGGGAACAAAGAGGGAAAUACUCUCUCACAUACAGGAGGUGCAUGCCAUGCAUACACAUGCAACAUGCGUAAGUCCCCUUGCACAAACGUUUCAAGACAAUUCAGUUGGCAAAAACUAGAGGCUGAAGACUGCGACUACCAUCAGUCCACACUGAAAUACAUCACUGUCCUACCUUCAAAUCAGCAGUGUAUAUGAUUGAACCUAAUUAAGACAAGCUUAGAACCUGUCUUGCUCUGUUGUGUUGGUUUGUGACCGUUGGUGUCCCUGAAACAUAGAGAGAGGUUCCCUCUCCCACAGAUGCUGUGGAGCUCGUGUAACAGAGGGGGAAAAAAGCUCACUCUACAGCACGCUUCAAAUGUCUCGGCUGGGGCCACUCAAGAAGGACAUCUUAAGUGGCUCAAUCAGUUGGUAACGUUGUCAAGCAGGGUGGCCACGUGUGCUGCGACGCAGAACCUUGGUUCAAGCCAGCAGUUAGACAGCGGGGAGGGUAACUGUUAGCAGCACACUGACCUGUGAAACUGGCACUGCAGCUGGUAUAGACAAUUGAUACAGUAUGCCGCACUCAAAUCCGGCUCUGCAAUCAACAGAUGCUGCAUGUUACGGGACUUUACUUUCAGGUGACCUUCUAGUCUACAUAAUAAUGUUUUGUCUGACAGAGGUUGAUCUUAUUAGCGAAGGGACAAAAUGGACCUCUGAACGCACCAGUGGGUGUUAUUGUUAUGCAGUGUUAAUUGAUUUGAGUCAGCUUCCAUUUACAGAAGUGUACGCCUCUGGCUGCUGUUGAAAAUGUUGUAUUUGGGUUCAAAAUAUACUGUGAUACACAGUUCCUUGUCUACCAUUCACUAAAAUAACAGGACAGUGAAAACAAUUUAUCUAUUAGGCUUUUUAACCAUGUCAGUCUAUUUUGGAGUGCCGGCACAGCGGUCAGAACAGUGCCAUGCUGCUUUUGGUGGGGUAGACUGCACUAGCCCACAUAUCUUCACAGUGGGCCCCUUUGGCUCAGUCAACAAGGCCCCAUUCACCACCAUGGGUUUGUAUUAAUCUUCACUAUUUUUUUAUCAAUUUGUAUGCUUUCCCUGUGACAUUGAGGAGUUGUUAGAUACACAAAGAUGGUAUUGUGUUUUUCAUAAUGUAGUAUGUAAACAUAAUUCCCUCCUCCUCUGCGCUCCCUGUGUCUGAGUUUGAAUGAAGACAAUUGUAGAGGAAAGAGUGAGGACAUCUUGGAAGAUGAAAGAUAAAAGAACAUGUCUGGAUAUGUUCGUAUGGAGGAGGAGGCCAAGCAGUUUGUGCGGGAAGCCAUAACAUCUGGCAUCAUGAACCAGCUGGCAUCAUGAACGACCUGGGCUCUGGAAGUAACGUGGACCUGUGUGUCAUCAAACAUGAUGGAACUUUUUGAGACCUCCAGAAGCCAGAGGUGGCCCCCACUACUACUACACUCUUUUCUCACUAUUUAGAUAAAGCAUCCAUAACUGGUUACCAGUUGCUGUAAUUCAAGCACUGCAAAUGGUCAUUAUACACUGAAGAAAAAUAUAAACACAGCAUGUAAAGUGUUGGUCCCAUGUUUCAGGGGCUGAAAUAAAAGAUCCCAGAAAUGUUUGUUACUCGGAUACACUGUCUGAGUCUGUUCAGCCAGUUGGGUUCUCAGUUCAUCGAGCAGACAGAAAUAAAUAUCUCUCCGGGAAGAA